UAUGGCCAUAUCAUGUUGAAACAUUGUUUCCUAUACGAUCGCUGAAGUUAAGCAACAUAGAGCCUGGUUAGUACCUAGAUGAGUGACCACUUGGGAAUAUCAGGUGUUGUAA